CCCGCCUGGGGGCCUCCGCCCGCCGCGACGCCCCCGGAAGGGAAACGGGGCCGGCGGACCCCGCUCCGCGCCGCCGGGCCGGGCUCGGCUCCCGGGGCGGCCCCCAGCGUCCCCCGGGCCCGGCCCGAGGCCGCUCGCCUCACGGGAGCCGCUCGCCUCACGACGGGGGCUGCGCGCGCGGGGUAACGGUCGCGGCCCCGGCAACGGCCGCCAGCGGCGUGUACUGGACAGAUGGGAUUACCAUCCACGCAGCUGCACAUUCGUGCCUUGAAGGCAGACAAAUUGAAAGGAACUGACAGGGCUGCUGCUGAAAGAAUUUUCUUACACAUACCAGCUAAAUUACAAGUCUUCCACAUCAAGACUGAAAAAUAAUCUUCAAACAAUCGCUGCUCUACGUAACACAAGAUCCUUCACUUAUGACAGCUCCCUUGUGGAAAGAUGAGAAUAUUCAUGUCUCCUAAAUCUGCCAUACUAUAAUGUCCCCCUACUCUCCACAUCAGUUCCUCAGACUACAGUUUGAGAAGACUGGCUCUGGCAAGACCAUCACCCUUAAACAGUUCCAGGUGUUGUUCCCCUCUGCCCUACUGCAAUCAUGCAAGAACCACUGAACGAGGCAGCUGACUUACAUUACUUUCAAGAAAAAAUGGUUGGGGGAGGGAGGCUCAGAGCACAGCCCCACAGACACAAUCAAGGAGGGCAGCAUGGUGAAGCUGGGGACAGAAAUAACAAAAGCUACAUUGCUACCAAGGCCCCCGUACCAUCAAAUCAUGCCUUUGAUCACCUACCUGUCUACAUUCUUCCAGCUCUUGGGUUAUCUUUUUCCUUCUUCUUAAAGAAGUCUGUAAGAACCAAGAGUCAUUUACUACUACUCAGCAUUCAUAGCCUGAAAAUCUUUCAGCUGAAGAGUGGGAUAAGGGAUAAGACCUGCUUUGAACCUGAUUUUGAAGGGUAAAUAAAAUCCCUUUAUUCCCUUCUGGGCUCCUCCUAUAUAUGACAUUUGAUGCCUUUCUCCCAUAUGUCAGGUAACCAGCUUAGCCAUAAGUGCUGAGGAAUGUAAUUACCAGACAGGCUUUGAGUUUUUACAUGAAAAAAGGUAUCACUAAUCCCAAAGCAUGUUUGCAAAACUCUGGAUAGUCAGUUAUCAUGCAAGCUCUCUGCUCAACUAGGAGUAACUCACCCGGCGAUACUUUUCAGGGAACGCAGACUGGCAAUCAAGAAUUGUGAUCACUACACAGCAUUCCUGGCCCACGGUGCCAUGGCAGCAGGUACAGCACACUGGGUUAGAAAUUUUUCUUACAAUUGUGAAAGUCAGAGGAGUAGAGAAGAGGGUCAAGCUCCAGAAUUCUCUAGACUAACCCAGAGACAUUGUUCUGUAAUUCAACGAAAUUUGAAUUGAAUGUGUAAUUUUAGUUCAAUGAAAAGUAGCAAUUAAAACAACAACAAAAAACGCAAACCCACAAUGAAAAACCAUUUAUUUCAUCUCUAUUGUCUCCAUGCAGAGCAGACCAAUACAGAUGAAGUGGGAAAAUGCAUAAGAGUAGCUGAAAAAAUAGAGCUUAGAAAAUACUAAUCUCUCUGCAUUUCCAAAAGUGACAAAUGUGGUGGAGUGAUGCUCCAUUUCCUCCCAAUGCUCUGCAUCCUCAGCCCCAGGGCUGACAUUGCAUGUAGUGGAAAGCCAGCCUCUCCUGUAAGCCCCGUGGAUACCCUCUACAGGGUGUCUUCCCAAGAACCGCAGACUCUCUGGGCCUGUGGUAUCAGCCAAGAAAAACAACUGAGAAAUUCCUUCUUCAGUGUCAUCCACUUCACAUUCCUGAACGCUGAGCACAAAAUCCUGACUGUAGUUUAGUCUUGGCAAGAGUCAAUGCUGAUGCAACAACACCAACUCAUGGGCACCCACCUGGCAAUGCUUCAACUUAAACACCAGUCUCAUUUUGAGAGAGAUCUUGGGAAAUUGCAUGCACCUCUUUACAAACUCAGCCUCCAAAGCCCUACUACAGGGUCCAGCUAGCUUUAGUCCCCAGGGAGGGUAGGGGGGAACAACGAAGCUAGAACUAGGGAGGUUAAUAUAUUCAUCCAGUCCCUGCAGGCUAAUCAGAUUAAUCUUCCAGGAAAGUGGAUGCUACCUUUAGACUUUCUGACAACUGAAUGACAGAGGGAGAAGCUGACAAAGGAAAGCUACUUUGUUUUCCAAAACACUCCUCCUCCCCUAAG